GACGAACGCUGGCGGCGUGCUUAACACAUGCAAGUCGAACGAAAAGAGAGAAAGAGCUUGCUCUUUCCGGAAUUGAGUGGCAAACGGGUGAGUAACACGUAAACAACCUGCCUUCAGGAUGGGGACAACAGACGGAAACGACUGCUAAUACCGAAUAAGUUCCAAGAGCCGCAUGGCCCAUGGAAGAAAAGGUGGCCUCUACCUGUAAGCUAUCGCCUGAAGAGGGGUUUGCGUCUGAUUAGCUGGUUGGAGGGGUAACGGCCCACCAAGGCGACGAUCAGUAGCCGGUCUGAGAGGAUGAACGGCCACACUGGAACUGAGACACGGUCCAGACUCCUACGGGAGGCAGCAGUGGGGAAUCUUCCGCAAUGGGCGAAAGCCUGACGGAGCAACGCCGCGUGAGUGAUGACGGCCUUCGGGUUGUAAAACUCUGUGAUCCGGGACGAAAAGGCAGAGUGCGAAGAACAAACUGCAUUGACGGUACCGGAAAAGCAAGCCACGGCUAACUACGUG
rnacentral:rRNA from 1 species